GAUGAACGCUGGCGGCGUGCCUAAUACAUGCGAGUCGAGCGAACAGAUGAGGAGCUUGCUCCUCUGACGUUAGCGGCGGACGGGUGAGUAACACGUGGAUAACCUACCUAUAAGACUGGGAUAACUUCGGGAAACCGGAGCUAAUACCGGAUAAUAUAUUGAACCGCAUGGUUCAAUAGUGAAAGACGGUUUUGCUGUCACUUAUAGAUGGAUCCGCGCCGCAUUAGCUAGUUGGUAAGGUAACGGCUUACCAAGGCAACGAUGCGUAGCCGACCUGAGAGGGUGAUCGGCCACACUGGAACUGAGACACGGUCCAGACUCCUACGGGAGGCAGCAGUAGGGAAUCUUCCGCAAUGGGCGAAAGCCUGACGGAGCAACGCCGCGUGAGUGAUGAAGGUCUUCGGAUCGUAAAACUCUGUUAUUAGGGAAGAACAAAUAUGUAAGUAACUAUGCACGUCUUGACGGUACCUAAUCAGAAAGCCACGGCUAACUACGUG
rnacentral:rRNA from 1 species